rnacentral:rRNA from 1 species
GACGGAGGAUGCAAGUGUUAUCCGGAAUCACUGGGCGUAAAGCGUCUGUAGGUGGUUCAAUAAGUCAACUGUUAAAUCUUGAGGCUCAACUUCAAAAAUCGCAGUCGAAACUAUUAAACUAGAGUAUAGUAGGGGUAAAGGGAAUUUCCAGUGGAGCGGUGAAAUGCGUAGAGAUUGGAAAGAACACCAAUGGCGAAAGCACUUUACUGGGCUAUGACUGACACUGAGAGACGAAAAGCUAGGGUAGCAAAUGGG